UGGAAGCAUGACAAAAUAGUAAUAAUAGUAAAGGUGAAGGGUAAUUAUCUUGUUGUGACUAUCUAAGACACUUGGACAACUCACUUUCAUAUUCAUUGAUCCAUUUUCAGUAAAGAAAAGACAUUCCUUUUACAUCUUUCUCUCUCUCGUGCCUUUUGCAAGUGACCACCUCUUGCAUAAAUCAUGAAGUUAGAUUGUGAAGACAACAACCCAUGAAAAUAAAAGACAUUUUGAUUUCUCUCUUCCUUUUUGUUUGGCCGCAAACCCUUUUCCAUGGUGUCUAAACCCAAAUUCAAUUUCUUCAUCAUCUAUGAGAAAACAUGCAUGUAUGGUGGUCAUCACUUCCCUCAUGAACUGUUAGUACUUAGUACUUGGAUUGAGUUGUUGUUGUGCAGAAAGUAAGGUACAGAACUCACUCUUCAUUCACAAAAGUAUACAUGAGUUUUCUCUUGUUGAAUCCAAACAUUUAAUCUUAACCCCACACAUGAAUAGAUGUUUACCUCUUCAUUUACUUUGAUUUCAUGUGAUGGAUUGAGUAAUUGCAAACUGUGGAUGUUUGGAAAAUCAAGUUGAGAUUAUUAUAAAGAAUCAUUGUUGGUUGAGGAAUGAAUGGAAGGCUGUGGAAACAGAAUUGGAGAAAGUUAGAAUUAGAAAGGUAAGAAAUUCUGCAUAAUUUUCGUAGGACCUAUGUUCAGUAAUUAAUCUGUAUCUGUCAAACCGUAACUUGAUUUUAAUGGUAUUUACAUGUCUAGAAAGCUGACAGAAUUACCUUCGUUAUGGUGUCAAAUUCGUGGAAUUUGACUGAGAAUUGAGAUCUGGAGACCAGUUUGAAGUUGAGGGUCUGAUAUGGAAAUUGUGCUGAAAAUUCUGUUUACCGGUUUAAACUGCUUUUGCUGCAAAUUCUGCAUUUCGGCGAGUUCCAGAAAUAUCGGUUGUAUUGUUCAAGCGUCAACUCAGGUGGGUUCCCUUAGAGCCUUAAACUCUAGUUAGUUUAGCUCCAUUAAUUUUCCCAAAAUUUAUGCAUGAUAACAUUAGUCUAAAUAGGAUAAUAGUAUCCCCAAUGUAUGAUAAAAAGUAAGAUAACAUUAAGGUUUAGGAUGAAUCAGUGUAUGAGAAGAGCUUAAUCCUAAAGUUCUUCUCCAUUUUAAUCAUUUAAUCCAUUAUAGUGUGCACAACUAUUAGAAAGAGGGAUUGUAGGUGAAUUUAUGCAUUGUUUAUAUAAAACAGAGUGUUGAAUUGGUAUCCUCGCUAAGCGAGAAUAGCAAAUCAGUAUCUUGCACAAUCUUUUAAAAUGUGAUGCUUUCACUCUUUUUAGAUCCCUGACCCUUCUAGAUAUUUUCUGAGGAUACUGUAAGUACAUUAAAUAAUUAGAAUGUUAAUUACACGUUAGGUACAUAAUAAUCAGGAAAUCAGGACAAGUUAGUAUUACCCUAGGAGGGAAUUCAUGGGCAGGAUAACAAUCAAGAUUAUUAAGUUAAGUCAAGAAAGUCAAUCAAUUAUGGUGGUUACUUAUGUACCACGUUGUGGGAUUCGUUAGAAUCCAAUCAUGUUAUGAUUGUGAGCUUCGACCGUGUCGAUGUACAUUAUUAUCGUAGACGGAUAUGUCAGGCCUCUGAGAUUGGCUCACCUCAGAGUGUCUUUGUUAUGAAUAAAACGAACAAGAUUAAUAAUUUGUGUUACACCUUUAUGUAUUAUGUUAUGAAAUUAUGUUAUGUAAAUCAUUUUUAGAGAUUGACUAUCAGGAUCAAGGAACAUUAGUUCAUCAGUUGCCCCUGGUGUAGACACCAAUAGUAAUUGGGUAGUAGGAAUCCACUGAGGCGAAGUGACUGUCUCAUCCCCCACUUAUUUGAUUUCAGAUAAAUAGGUUGAUCGAGAUAUCAUGGUCUGCAAGCAUAGAGUUCAGAUGCUUGGAUUAUGCUAGUUGAGCUGACGUCACGUUAUCUUAUAUUGUGAAUUAGAUUUAGUUUCUUCAUGUUUUCAGUUGUUAGCUCAAUUUAGUAUUAAUCACUUAGAUUUUUGUAAUCCUAUUUAUGUAUUUGGACGAUAUGUAAUGAAAAUUUAAUGUUUUCCGAUUCAGUUAUGUACACUUUUAUCGAUAUUCUAGAUAAAUUGACAUGGGAUGAUAUCACCA
rnacentral:lncRNA from 1 species